rnacentral:rRNA from 1 species
UGGGGAAUAUUGCACAAUGGAGGGAACUCUGAUGCAGCGACGCCGCGUGAACGAAGAAGGCUUUCGAGUCGUAAAGUUCUUUUAUAUGGGAAGAUAAUGACGGUACCAUAAGAAAAAGCCUCGGCUAACUACGUGCCAGUAGCCGCGGUAAUACGUAGGGGGCUAGCGUUGUCCGGAAUCACUGGGCGUAAAGGGUUCGCAGGCGGAAAUGCAAGUCAGGUGUAAAAGGCAGUAGCUUAACUACUGUAAGCAUUUGAAACUGCAUAUCUUGAGAAGAGUAGAGGUAAGUGGAAUUUUUAGUGUAGCGGUGAAAUGCGUAGAUAUUAAAAAGAAUACCGGUGGCGAAGGCGACUUACUGGGCUCAUUCUGACGCUGAGGAACGAAAGCGUGGGUAGCAAACAGG